GGAAGAGAGAGAGUCAGAAAGCUUGAUGCUUGAUGUCAAAUUAAAAUGUUUUAUUAUUGGAAUCAGGGCAGAAUGGAUUUAAACUAGUCUGAUUUAUUCACUCCCUAAAUUCUCAAUUUGCUGAAUGAGAAGAUCCAAUUCUGAUGAUUUCAUAAAAUGAUUGCUGAAAUGGUAAUUACUGGUCUUUUGUUACCAGACAGUUAAAACUCUUUUGUAAUCAGGUGAUGAAGCUAAAGCUUCUUCAAGAAUUGGUUCGAUGACUAUGAUACAUUUUCCCUUCUGAUUUAACCGAGAUAGGAACCAACUGAUUCCCUCUACAGCCACAUUCAUCCAUUGAUGCUCAUCGGUGUAAUCAUCAAUCUACAAAAAACAAGCUUUUACAAGAAAUAUUGCAGCUAUCGCACAAAUAAUAAAGAAAAUAGACAUCGCUCCGAAAACAAUAACUGUGGGAUCGUUUCUACCGAUGGGAACUUAAUCAUAUUUAUUAAGUAAUUUGAAUUAUAAACUAAAGAUUUACUGCGGUUCCUUACAGAUGAUUUGUGUGCUGUUACUUGAUCUGGUACACGGAAGGUACGUCACAGAAAAAGGAUGAAUACAUCUUGGAUCGACUGGGGUAACCUGGUGUAUGAGGAAACUAGCUUGAGUCAAACUGGCUUGCCUGUGGCAAUGUUGUUAAACUCUCACAGAUAGAAAAACUUUGUCUAGUAAAGCUGGUCCAUUGACAUUCCGUUUUAAACCCUACUGUUUGGUAAAGGAGGAAAGUAUAUAACGAGGAUGCUUGUUCGCAUGCCCUCUCUAUUUUCAAUGUGUGGCCGUUAUAUUCAGCGAUUGCGUUACAAUUCGGUAAUUCCCAGAAUACCUGUGUGCCUCCUGCCAACUAAACAACAAAUAAGAAGGAACAGAAUAUCAGUAAACGCAUUUUUUAAACAAAUUAUUGUGUUGCGACGACCUUGAUUACGCAGACAAACGCAAGAAUAGAAAGAGUGACCAUUUCAUGGUUUCACCUCAAUAUACGAAACUGAUUUUUAUUUUCCACCAUUUAAAUCUGUACUCACAGGUAACACGAAUACUAUACACACUAACAGGCUUUAGCAAUUUACUUCACUCUUCACAGAUAACGCAAUCACUUAACCAAAAGCGAGAUAAGAUAUGAAAUGAGGCGUUUAACCUUGCAUACAAUGCAUACGUAUAUCUGCCGUGAACAGGAAAAUUUUUACUUAAUUUCGAAAUGGAUUGUUAUCUUAGUGGAAAGGCUAAACUGUCCUUCAGUGAUCACAUAUUUCAAUCCUUGAUUUUGUUCGCUAUGAAAAUAUUGAUGUCACAAUAGUAGUAGGGAGCAGUAGCAAUGGGAUUUUGUUUUAAGCAUAUCCAGAGUUUAUUUUCAAUAAGGCAUAACUAAUACAAUAAUCAUAAGCUCGAAACAUAAUGUAAUGCACUGAUGUGAUUAACAUUUUAUCCAACAUUGUUUCUCUGUUCUUGAUAAUAUCUUUUUAAGUGGAAUUUUUCAAAUAGAAUCGCGGAUCCAACGGAAUACAACAUACGAGCGACACAUAAGAAACCAUAUAAUUGCAGGUAAGUAUUUUUUUUUUAACCAACAGAACGGUUCAUUGCGUUUUUUUUAAAUUAUUAUUUAGGUAUAAUGGGAAAAUGGAUUUUAAAAAAAGUAAUGGUUUCUCGGUAAUGGAAUUUUUUGGGUUGCCCCUCCUACUUUUGGCCAGUUAUCCCAAUUGAGUUUUCUGCAGUUUAAUUAUUGCGUUGCAUAUUUGUAAACUAAGAGGAUCUAUCUAUGCUCUUAAGUUUAAAUUGGUGCUCUCCUACUUUCUCAUAUCUAUAAGCAGAGGGACUGUUUGGAAAUAUUUUUGAGUAAGGUCUUCUUUCUAUGUAAACAGUUUUGUCUCUUUCACUAAAUCUUACCCUUUUCUUCCCGUAAGAACCAUCACGUGAGCGACCAAGAUUUAAGAUCGAAGAGUUUAAGGCGCGGUUGGCUGUAGCACUGGCUGUAGGUUGUCGUGUAGGUUGUUUCUCAGUUCCUUUCUCGGUACCUGUAAACGCGAAAAUUUGAUUGACCGCUAUUUUUUAUCGUAAAUUAGAUAGUCUUAAAUUACCUCUAGCUACUCGAUUAACCACUGGCUUGAAGGAAGGAGUAAUGUCGUUUGAUGCACUUGCAGAAUUUGUGAGUAGUUCGGCGUCUUCAGACGGAUGUUUUCCUUUAGACGAAUCAGUCUUCGACCCAGAAUCUAUGGUUUUCGUCGCUUUGCGAGGAAUAACAUAAUUUGAGGACCAUGCUGCGUUGGGGGUUUCUUUCUUUUCUUUGAUGGAUUGGUUUUUGCUUUUCAUCAAAUCAGCAGCCAACUUGUCAUUACGAGAUGUGGCGGUUGAUUUUGCCUAAAUAAUGACAUCACGAUUAAAACAUACCGAACGAGA